GGACAUUUAAGGCUGUUCCUAGUGGCAAUGGGGCUGGCUCAGCACAUCCGUUGUCAGUCACUUUCUCUUUUCUAAGUACUUUCUGUGCCAUUUAAGCAGACGAUGGUGACACUGGUGUUAAGCGUGCGACUUCUACAGCCUACACUGCCGGCAUAGGGAGGGACCCAGGAGGUUGCAAGGUGUUUUAAUGUCCUUCCUCUCUUGCCAGCACUACUUUUUGCUCUUGCGUUUUGUUUUGUUUUGUUUUGCAAAAGAGGCAACAGCGAUCUGCAGACUCUGCUUUCUGCCUUGUACCAGAGAGCCACAGUAUAUGUUCGAUCAUGUAACACACUGGUGUUUAGUUCAUUCUUGCUGCGAAAGAAGGCCAUUGUACUUCCUGACCCCAAAAGCAAGGGACGGUGGCUGCUACAUGCAGUUUCAGAUCAAUCUGCUAUCGUCACUGUGCCUGAGACCCAAAUAAUUUCUCUGUCAACUCUGGACACUUUGAAGUGAGUGGGGACUUUUUUGAUUGGCAUAAACUGCCUGCAUGCAUCCAGAGGACAGAGAAUCAACAGUGAUAACCCUCCUCCCUCCCACUCCAUCUGUAUCAUUUUGCUAAAAAGCCUUAGAGGAAAUGUGUCUUCUUCAAGCAGAAAAAAUUUAAUUUUGGCUGAAUUGAAUGAGAGAAGCCAGGACUAUUCAAAUGGCCUCUGUAUUCUGUCAUUGGCACAAAGGCGAAGACAAGGCCCUGGAUCCUAAGUAGGAAUCUACCUGGACUCACAGCAGUGUCCGCCUGCUGGACAGAAUCUCUUGAACCCCUGGGGUAAUAUCAUGACCCCAGGGGACUGUGGUGAAAGAGAGGAAUGCUGGAUCUUCUCUUCUGGAACAGACAUUGCAGAGGAAGAGAUGGAUGAUGAACAGAGAGAAAACAAAAUUUUAAAAAUGAGAAAAAGAUUUCAAAGAAAAUGUGGGAGUCCAUGGAGAGAGCUGGACAGAACGGCAAAGACAUUGAGAACACGGGAUUAUCAGAGUGAGAGGAAGGUGUGGUGGCCGGAGCUGCAGCAGCCUAAGGAGCAGAGAGGACGCCAGGAUCAGAAGGAUGUCACCGGGAAGCCACAGGCUGUGUUGAGUGGUAGCCAGUGGUGACGGUGGUGGCAGGCCUUGAAUACAGAGUUUACUGUAGGGAAGGAAGACCACUAACAGUUUUGGGUAGGAGAAUGAUGUCAUAAAAAUGGCUUUUUAUGAGGAUUAGUCAAGUGGUGUGUGAGAAAAAGUAGCUCUUUGUUGGCAAAGACACAAGUGCUAUGCCCAUAGCAUAGCAAUUGUCUAAGCAUGAGGAAGUGCUAAUACUGCUCAAGAGAGUGUACAACCACAAGGAUUUAAUAAUUCUCUGGUGAAUUAGGAAAACUAUUUUUAAAUGUCCCAAAGUAUUCAAACAAUCAGCCACAGCUGCUUUCCUUUCUCAAAAAUAACUCAGAAUUAAACUUGGCUCUCAACACACAUGAAAAACAAAAUUAGUCAAUUAUGUAAAAUCCAGGGCAAUACCUUACAUUUAAUAGGUGCUUAAUAAAUUUUUCUUGUAAUGUUGGUGAAAAUAUUAUCCAAUUCAAGCAAGAAAAAAACAUAUUUCUCUAGAUAUCUAGCACUUAUAGAUGUCAAUAUCCUUGUUAAAUUACAAUUCAGAAAAUUGCUUUGAUUGUUCUACC
ensembl:lncRNA